GGGCCCAUAGCUCAACGGCAGAGCCGCCGGCUCAUAACCGGUCAGAUCCUGGUUCGAGUCCGGGUGGGCCCACCA
rnacentral:tRNA from 1 species